AAAAAGGUAAGCUAAAAAAGCUGUUGGGUUCAUACCCCGAAAAUAGAAAUUCAAGUUUCUUCUUUUUA
rnacentral:tRNA from 1 species